GGAGAGUGACUAGUGCAUAGCAUAUAUUACAGCCACUCUCACUCUGUCUCUUCCACCCAAGGCUCUGUCGGCAACGAUCACAGAUUCCUAUUUUGUCUCCAUUUUUGUUAAAUAAUUUUCUGAUUAAUCGGGAUAUCGUACAACCAGGACAACCAUGUCUAGCCAAGGAACCUGCAAGCCCGCGUGUUGUGACGACAACAAGUGCGAGACGGGAAAGUGUCAGUGCGGAGCCGACUGCUCCUGUUGCUGCUGUGAGAAACAGAAGGGAGGAGACUGCUGCGGGGACCAGCCCGCUAAACACGACUGUUGUAAAUGUUGUCCUGAUGAGAAGAAGUGCGCUGACGGUUGCAAGGAUGGCGGUCACAAUCACUGAUUGACGAGAUGGGUGAAGAAGGCGUAGAUACUCAUCAAGGAGGAGAUGCUCCUUCUCUGCGGAGAGGCUUAUAUUUUGGACUUUCUUGCAAUAAUCUUGUCUUGUAGAUAGUGCUUUCUAUGUUGACGUUGUCUCCGUGGUGCUGGUAUAUCGUCUGCUCAGAAUGUGUCGUUGUGACUUCGACAGGCCUCUAUCAAAGCCAACAACCACGAAUUGUGUUGGACGCCAUGGCGUGUUGGGUCGAUUCUUGCUCUCUUGUAUAUUUUGACAUCAUACAUGGUCUCAACAACGCUUUCCUUGUACUUAACGAGUAAAACUCAGACUCACAAGAAAAUGGACCUCACCAACGCUUGUCUGCACAUUGACUAAAUCAAUGACAAUCAAUUUACCCAAUUAAAGGAUAUACCGAUACAUAAAACGACACUAGAUUUUGCCGACCCGUUUUGUUUAUUGAGGCACUGGUUGUUCCAUUCUCAUAGCUCUAUUGAUAUAAGUGCCUUGUAUUGUACAAAUCGAUAAACUGAAUCAACAAAAUGAUGCGAGAUGGCCUCUAGUGAAACCGGAAUACAUUUGAAUUGUAUUUCUCGACAUUUUUCUGGCACGAUCGUUUAAGUGAUAUCGAGCUUGCGGCAGAAUUUCAGCUCCUCAGACAGUCAAUUAGUAACAAGACAUCCAAUCAUCCAUCUCGUUUUCAUCGUUUCGUUUUAUGCUCAAUACAUCUGUAGUAGAAAAUCUAGCUUUUAUUCCGAUAAUAAAGUAACCCGAUGUGAACAA